UUCUUCUUUCUUUCUUCAUUGUUUCUAUUCUCACGCGAAAAACCCUAAGCCCACACCUCUGUCUCCGCUUCCCCUCCGUCUUCCACCAACGCUCUCCACCAAAAGAAACGAAAACCACAUCUCUCAUGCUCAAACAAAUUUGAAAUUGCUAAAUUCGUUCACGGAUUAUCGGUUAGGGUAAGGGUUUGGUUCACAAUUUUACUUCACCGGCCAUGUACAGCGACGGUGAAGGUAUAAAUCUAUUACUAUUUUUUACUUUCUUUCUUCUUCUGAAAAAGCAGAAAACGCAGAAGGUUCUUUUUGGCAAAACCUAGCUUCGUCGCACCUUUCUCCUUCUUUCUCCGUCUCCAGCAUGAGCCAAUGAAGUUUCUCUUUGACCUUAAUAAUUGAUUCAAUCGGUUUCCAGCUUCUUCGAUUCAGGAUUCAUGGUUUCAGUUUUGUGCUCAAGAUUCGGAUUUAUGUGAUGUUUUAGUUUCAGAACUUUUUUCAAUUCAGAAUGGGUUUCACUCGGCUCUGUUUGGUUUCAAGCAAAGUUUCGACUUGAUUCAUGCUAAGUUACAGUUCCAAAAUCGAUUCAGCACUUACUUAUUACUGGCGUAUGAAGAUGCCCAAGACGGCUCGUUACACCGCACUCGUUGCUAAGAACGCGAUACAAGCUGCUUCUGAUAUGUUCCUGCAGCACUGAAUUAUUGUGUUCUGCUUUAUUAUGCAUAUUACCUAUAGGUCCUAACCGCAAUGUCUUUUAUUAAUGGUGUAUUCUUCACAGGCUCUGAAUUUUCUGAAGACAGUUUUGUUGCCAAAGUUAAAAAUGGAAAUAGUAGUGAGGAAAGACCAGGUUGAGGCGGUACUCCAGAGAAUUCUGGAGUCAGCAAGGACUGGGGAGAUUGGUGAUGGCAAAAUUUUUUGUUAGGCCGAAACCUUCAGUUUUAUGAAAAUAAUUCGAACAUAGGAAAGGUUUUUGCAAUUCUGAGGAUGCUCGUCUAAAAAGAUAAAAGUUAAUAAAAAACUACAAUUUUGUGACAAAAAAUAGUUAUCAAAUAUAUCUUUUUAUUUUAUUAAUGUGAGCAUAUAAGCUAUAAGCUGUAAAAUACUCAUUGGUCUUGCCAAGUAGAAACUAAUCUUCGAGUCUAAAUAACAAUAGUAUUAAAGAUGAAUUAGAAAAGUGAUUUCUUGCAAAACAAAAAUGCAAGAAAUAUUAUAGGACUUGCAGGAAAAAUAUAAAUUGUAUUAUUGUACUACUCCAAUAAGUUAAUAUAUUAUCAAUUCAUUCCUUGCUUUAUGGGCCAUAAAGUUCUAUCUCUCUUUGAUUCAGCGGUUGCAAAGGUCUAGCAUUCUUCGCUGCAUGCUGCCAUGCAUAGAAUGGUCCACAAAUGAAUAUGAAGAUUUUUUCGACAUUGCCUCCAUAUGUACAGAACAAAUAGGUCCUAAAUGCCGAUGAUUCUUUAGUCCUUCUAACUUCAUGAAGUUUGAAAAAGACGAGCAGGGAAGAAUUGCGAUUCUACCAUUUUACCUUUACGUGAUGCGUACGGCAAGAAUUGAUAUGAGUGAGCUUGAUGAGGAUUCUGAUGGUUUCCUUCAGCCACAUUACCAAAGAGUAAAGCCAACAACAUCACAUGGAUUCGAGUGGAGUGUCCUGAGCAGCGUAAUGAAGUAGGUUGCGGUUUCUACAUGUUGCGGUUUAUGAAAGAAAUUCUUCUUUUGAAUCAAAUAGAGAUUCCGUCCAAGUACUUUGAUGACUUCAAGUGUGCUACUUACUUUGUCAAAAAAAAAAAAAAAAAGUGUGCUACUUACUCAAGAUCUAAGUUGGAUGAACUUAAGGAGGAUUGGUGUCAAUUCAUGAUUGAGUUGAAAGUUGUAUAGGUAUAUUGAAAUCUUACUAUAAUUGAUGAGAAUUUUGAGUAUAGCUAAGUGCAUGUUGCAAUAUUUGAUUUAUCUACAUAGAUUAUUUAGUGAUAUAUAGGCCGUUUGAAAUACAUUCGUGGCAAAUGUAGAAUGGUUUUAUGGACACUAAUGUAGAAUGUUUUUCACCUUUAUAUUAUUUUGUUUUUGGUUUUCUGUUAUUUUGUUUUGUGAUUGUUUUUGGUUUUCUAUUUAGCAUCCUUUUGACUUGUGUAAAAAAUAACAAUGUUUUGGAUGAUGCAAUUGUUUUCAUUGAAUUGGAU